CUGCUUUGGUUUCUUGCUGUUUGCAUAUUCUCUUAAAAACACUUGACUGACUGCAGCUGACUGUUUAUACAUCAAUAAUAUGGGCAGUUGAAUAUGGCGUUUUCAAGUGAAGGAUUUCAAAAAUCUAAUAUGGCAUGCCUAUUUUUCAUGGAAAAACAAAUGGUACCUUAUUUACUAUUUAGUUUUUAAGCUAGACUAAUUUGACUACACGCGUCCUGAGGUGCCUUCUGUUUUGGAAUAGUCAUAGAAUGCUCCUUAUUACGAGAUGUUCCUUUGUCACUAUUGGAAAUUCUGCCUAGGGUGGCCUUUGUCUUAGUUUACAGCUUCAUAUGGCUACCUAUGUAUAACAUAUGUAUGUUCUGUUUGAACCAUCUCAAAUCACAUAGAGAUGUUAAAUUUUCAAUGUGUUGCCUCGCGGUCGUGUGCCAUCACCAUGUUUACUCCAGAAAAGUGGAAUGUGCAGAGUUUCUUGUUGAUUAGUCAAAUAUUUGCUUUGCCUUAAAGACUGUCCCCAUCUAUGUUCCAGGUUGUGGCAACGCUGCAGAUAUGCCCAUUGCCAUUGAGCAUUUCUAUCUAUAUGCUUAUACAGAGUAUUUGGUUUUUGUACUAUACGCUUGAUGAAAUAAUUUCCUUAUAAGCUGGGACAAGGCGUUUGUAGUUGAUAUUUGUACUAUAAGCUCAAUUUUUUUGGUUCAUCUCAUCUCUGGUUAUUUUUUCGUUUUUUGUGUUUCUGCAGCAUAUUAUCAUUAGCAUAUAAAACCUCUUAUCUUUCUUGUUUUCAACAAUUAUUCUUUGGCAGGGAAGACUAUGAUAACACUAAGAUUAUCAGGAAAGGAUUCAGGGCUUUUUUUGAAUCCAGAUUAUCACACAUGAUGCAAAAUUAACAACCAUGACUUUGAAAUAUGGAUGAUGAUGCUUAUUAUGUGCUAGAAAUCAAAUAUGUAAAGGAGAAGAUAAUGUUUGCGAAGGUGUGUAUACUGAACAAGCAUCCUAAUUGAUGUGUUUUCCUGUUGUUUCUUGAUGUGCCCUCAUGCAGCUGUGUCCAUAUAUACUGAUUGUUAUACUUAUUGUUGUGUGAGUUGCAGGAGAGGGGAGAGAGAUACGGGUUGAUUCUGGGUAAACUUUGCUUAAUUUGUUGGAGAAAAUGCUCGAUAGAUCUCAUGGAUGGAUGAGGUUGUGGCAGUAGUUCUCGGGUGCAAUAUCUAUCUUGAUAGAGUGAUCAACUAGGGCACAUUAGAAGCAGAAGAGGAAACGUUUGGGCCGUCUAUGGUGUUGAAGAUUCAGUGUUUCUGUCUUGUGUACAUGCACGGCCAGUUCAGUAACUAGAUGGCCUUUUCUACUGUACUGGCGCUGCUACUUUUCACAUGCUAGCUUCUUUGGAAAGCGCCAACAGUGUGUACAACAUGUAAAGAGUCCAUCUUGAAGGAACAGAAGCGGAAGUAUGGAGCUGAUGUAUUAAUGGUCAAUCAAGGAAUUCAGUCUCGAUGAGCUUAACUAAUGAUGUGUGAGUUGAGCCUUAGGUCAUUUUCAAAGUAACGGAAGUACAAGAGAUUACUUGAAAAUAAACAUUUUUUCAAUGCGACAUGGUCUUAAGUGCGAUUUUAUACCACCAAAUUAAAAUAUCAUUGUAGACAACAGGCCUAUAUUUUUAUUUUAUUUUAUUAAAGGGUUAAACUUGUUAUCGUAUGUGUUUGCCCACAACUAAAUCAAAACAUGAUUUU
rnacentral:lncRNA from 1 species